CUGACAUUUUUUUUGUUUAAUGACUAACGAUUCACACAAUUUUAGAGUAAACAGAUAAAUAUGAAAUCAUCAUUAUUUAUAAUAUAUGUAUUUAAUAAAUGAUUUUAUCAUUUUGUAGAACACGAGUAAACUGGUAAAUACCUUCAAUACCUAUUCGGUAAGUGUACACCUAUCUCAUAAAUCAUAAUGUCCUAUUAUUGCGUUAAAUGUAUAGCUUGGUGGUCAAACGUGAGGAAUAUAUGCCUUCAUCCGUCCUCAAAUGACUUUUUCAAUAUUUAUAAUCUUAUAACUAUAAAUUAUAUUUUUAAUUAUCGAAUAGUGCAUGUUGAAAAAUCAGCCCAAUCGUGGCAAAAUUAUUAGACUAUCACUGAUUAGGUUAGGUUAGGUUAGCUAUGUUGUUAGCUCAUAUUAUGGUAUUGGUCAUGUGGAAACAUGUGACAAAACUUGAACGCACUAAUAUUGUAUAUAUUAAAUUAUUUUAAAUUGUAUUGUUUUACAAAAAGAUAUCGGUAAGUGUUACAAUUUUCAGUGAUUAUAGAAAGUACCAAUAAGCUUAAAUGAGAGUUCCUUAUAAAAUAAAUAUAUGAAUCAAUUUAUUAAUCACAUUAAUGAAUAUGUAAUUGCCAAAUGUACCUAAGUCUAAGUUUCUGUUAAA